GCCAGCAGCCAUAUCACUCUGUAACUCAGACCUUGUAACCCACUGAAGGUAAGCAGGUAUGAGCCUGGCCAGUAAAUGGAUGAGAGACCUCCUGGGAAAAACUAAGGUUGCUGCUGGAA
rnacentral:rRNA from 1 species